UUUUUUUUUUUUUUUUUUGAGAUGGAGUCUUGCUCUGCCGCCCAGGCUGGAGUGCAGUGGCAUGAUCUCGGCUCACUGCAACUUCCUCCUCCCAGGAUCAAGCGAUUCUCCUGCCUCAGCCUCCCGAGUAGCUGGGACUACAGGUGUGGGCCACUAUGCCCAGCUAAUUUUUGUACUUUUAGUAGAGACAGGACGGGGUUUUGCCAUAUUGGUCAGGUUGGUUUCGAACUCCUGACCUCAAGUGGUCCACCUGCCUUGGCCUCCCAAAGUACUAGGAUUACAGGCGUGAGCCACCACCCCCCGGCCUAUAUGCCAAUUUUAAAAAAAGAACAAAAAUUAAUUUUCACCUGAAUUUUCAAUAUCCCAGGGUGUAGUUAGGGGAAAAAAAUAUUAAGAAAUUCUCUAUAAGGAAAAACACCAAGAGAUUUCUUUUCAAAAGAGCCAAUCUAAGGCUGGGUGCGGUGGCUCACGCCUGUAAUCCCAGCACUUUGGGAGGCUGAGGCUGGCGGAUUGGUUGAGGUCAGGAGACCUGCCUGGACAACAUGGUGAAACUCUGUCUCUACCAAAAAUUACAAAAGUUAGCCAGGCGUGGUGGCGCAUGCCUGUAGUCUCAGCUACUCAGGAGGCUGAGGCAGGAGAGUCACUUGAACCCCGGGAGGCGGAGGUUGCAGUGAGCCGAGAUCGCACCACUGCACUCCAGCCUGGCAACAGAGUGAGACCGUGUCU
rnacentral:lncRNA from 10 species